rnacentral:rRNA from 1 species
UACGUAGGGUGCAAGCGUUGUCCGGAAUUAUUGGGCGUAAAGAGCUCGUAGGCGGUUUGUCGCGUCUGCUGUGAAAACUCAGGGCUUAACUCUGAGCUUGCAGUGGGUACGGGCAGACUAGAGUGCGGUAGGGGAGACUGGAAUUCCUGGUGUAGCGGUGAAAUGCGCAGAUAUCAGGAAGAACACCCGUGGCGAAGGCGGUUCUCUGGGACGGUACUGACGCUGAGACGCGAAAGCGUGGGGAGCGAACAGG